rnacentral:lncRNA from 1 species
CUUGCUCCAGAACCCAGUUUAAGCAUAAUAAUUCAACCUUGUUUUCUUCUUCGCUUGGACUUGAAUAAUACCUUCAUGAAAGUCCUAAUAGUUCCACCUGGGAAAAAUCAAUCAUUGUCCCCCAAUAUCAGCAUACAAAUAUAAGACACAAUUUUUUCCUGAUCAAAAGCAUUAGCAUUAGAUUGAACUAGCAAAUGAAAGAAGAAGCAUAGACUCUAUGUUUCUGUCUAACGAUCUGUAUGUGAGGUUGGCAAGGUUUAUAGGAAUGGUUACGUAGGGCUCCUUUUUACAUCAACAAUUGUAUCUGUUUUCUCUGUUGGAAGUAUUGUUCAUACUUCCUGGUUAAUUGAAGUUUUUAGUUAUGCAAAAGAAAAAGCUCCAAACAAAAGUGUCAAUACAGUAGCAAGAGUUAAUGAAAAUGGCAUUUCAAUCACCUGUAUUCUAAACAAAAAUCCAAUAUAUUUGGUGCCUGCUUCUAACUCCAAUUAAUCAUUAUUUAAGUUGUUGAAAAUAAAAGUGAAAGCGUGUUAUAACACCAAUUCCACAAUCAUAGGUUUUAAGAAAUAAAUUAAUUAUUGUUUUCACCCAAAGAGGGUGAACAUUUUUGGAGCAUAUAUUUUACAAUAGAAAAUAUGCAUAUAUAGAGAAAAAUUGAAGACAAACCUUUGUCCCAUAGUCACAAGUCACGACUAUAACAAUCAAGGUGGUUGAGGAGUUCUAACAUUGUUCCUUAUACCUCCCACACCACACUCCAUCAAAUAACCCACAAAUCUUAUCACCACUUGGUUCAUUGCUUUCGCCACAAAUAAAGAUAAGGGUUACUUGUCUUUAAUGUUCUUCUAUUU